rnacentral:rRNA from 1 species
UUAAGCGACUAAGCGUACACGGUGGAUGCCCUGGCAGUCAGAGGCGAUGAAGGACGUGCUAAUCUGCGAUAAGCGUCGGUAAGGUGAUAUGAACCGUUAUAACCGGCGAUUUCCGAAUGGGGAAACCCAGUGUGAUUCGUCACACUAUCAUUAACUGAAUCCAUAGGUUAAUGAGGCGAACCGGGGGAACUGAAACAUCUAAGUACCCCGAGGAAAAGAAAUCAACCGAGAUUCCCCCAGUAGCGGCGAGCGAACGGGGAGGAGCCCAGAGCCUGAAUCAGUGUGUGUGUUAGUGGAAGCGUCUGGAAAGGCGCGCGAUACAGGGUGACAGCCCCGUACACAAAAAUGCACAUAUUGUGAGCUCGAUGAGUAGGGCGGGACACGUGGUAUCCUGUCUGAAUAUGGGGGGACCAUCCUCCAAGGCUAAAUACUCCUGACUGACCGAUAGUGAACCAGUACCGUGAGGGAAAGGCGAAAAGAACCCCGGCGAGGGGAGUGAAAAAGAACCUGAAACCGUGUACGUACAAGCAGUGGGAGCACGCUUCGGCGUGUGACUGCGUACCUUUUGUAUAAUGGGUCAGCGACUUAUAUUCUGUAGCAAGGUUAACCGAAUAGGGGAGCCGAAGGGAAACCGAGUCUUAACUGGGCGUUAAGUUGCAGGGUAUAGACCCGAAACCCGGUGAUCUAGCCAUGGGCAGGUUGAAGGUUGGGUAACACUAACUGGAGGACCGAACCGACUAAUGUUGAAAAAUUAGCGGAUGACUUGUGGCUGGGGGUGAAAGGCCAAUCAAACCGGGAGAUAGCUGGUUCUCCCCGAAAGCUAUUUAGGUAGCGCCUCGUGAAUUCAUCUCCGGGGGUAGAGCACUGUUUCGGCAAGGGGGUCAUCCCGACUUACCAACCCGAUGCAAACUGCGAAUACCGGAGAAUGUUAUCACGGGAGACACACGGCGGGUGCUAACGUCCGUCGUGAAGAGGGAAACAACCCAGACCGCCAGCUAAGGUCCCAAAGUCAUGGUUAAGUGGGAAACGAUGUGGGAAGGCCCAGACAGCCAGGAUGUUGGCUUAGAAGCAGCCAUCAUUUAAAGAAAGCGUAAUAGCUCACUGGUCGAGUCGGCCUGCGCGGAAGAUGUAACGGGGCUAAACCAUGCACCGAAGCUGCGGCAGCGACGCUUAUGCGUUGUUGGGUAGGGGAGCGUUCUGUAAGCCUGUGAAGGUGUGCUGUGAGGCAUGCUGGAGGUAUCAGAAGUGCGAAUGCUGACAUAAGUAACGAUAAAGCGGGUGAAAAGCCCGCUCGCCGGAAGACCAAGGGUUCCUGUCCAACGUUAAUCGGGGCAGGGUGAGUCGACCCCUAAGGCGAGGCCGAAAGGCGUAGUCGAUGGGAAACAGGUUAAUAUUCCUGUACUUGGUGUUACUGCGAAGGGGGGACGGAGAAGGCUAUGUUGGCCGGGCGACGGUUGUCCCGGUUUAAGCGUGUAGGCUGGUUUUCCAGGCAAAUCCGGAAAAUCAAGGCUGAGGCGUGAUGACGAGGCACUACGGUGCUGAAGCAACAAAUGCCCUGCUUCCAGGAAAAGCCUCUAAGCAUCAGGUAACAUCAAAUCGUACCCCAAACCGACACAGGUGGUCAGGUAGAGAAUACCAAGGCGCUUGAGAGAACUCGGGUGAAGGAACUAGGCAAAAUGGUGCCGUAACUUCGGGAGAAGGCACGCUGAUAUGUAGGUGAGGUCCCUCGCGGAUGGAGCUGAAAUCAGUCGAAGAUACCAGCUGGCUGCAACUGUUUAUUAAAAACACAGCACUGUGCAAACACGAAAGUGGACGUAUACGGUGUGACGCCUGCCCGGUGCCGGAAGGUUAAUUGAUGGGGUCAGCGCAAGCGAAGCUCUUGAUCGAAGCCCCGGUAAACGGCGGCCGUAACUAUAACGGUCCUAAGGUAGCGAAAUUCCUUGUCGGGUAAGUUCCGACCUGCACGAAUGGCGUAAUGAUGGCCAGGCUGUCUCCACCCGAGACUCAGUGAAAUUGAACUCGCUGUGAAGAUGCAGUGUACCCGCGGCAAGACGGAAAGACCCCGUGAACCUUUACUAUAGCUUGACACUGAACAUUGAGCCUUGAUGUGUAGGAUAGGUGGGAGGCUUUGAAGUGUGGACGCCAGUCUGCAUGGAGCCGACCUUGAAAUACCACCCUUUAAUGUUUGAUGUUCUAACGUUGACCCGUAAUCCGGGUUGCGGACAGUGUCUGGUGGGUAGUUUGACUGGGGCGGUCUCCUCCUAAAGAGUAACGGAGGAGCACGAAGGUUGGCUAAUCCUGGUCGGACAUCAGGAGGUUAGUGCAAUGGCAUAAGCCAGCUUGACUGCGAGCGUGACGGCGCGAGCAGGUGCGAAAGCAGGUCAUAGUGAUCCGGUGGUUCUGAAUGGAAGGGCCAUCGCUCAACGGAUAAAAGGUACUCCGGGGAUAACAGGCUGAUACCGCCCAAGAGUUCAUAUCGACGGCGGUGUUUGGCACCUCGAUGUCGGCUCAUCACAUCCUGGGGCUGAAGUAGGUCCCAAGGGUAUGGCUGUUCGCCAUUUAAAGUGGUACGCGAGCUGGGUUUAGAACGUCGUGAGACAGUUCGGUCCCUAUCUGCCGUGGGCGCUGGAGAACUGAGGGGGGCUGCUCCUAGUACGAGAGGACCGGAGUGGACGCAUCACUGGUGUUCGGGUUGUCAUGCCAAUGGCACUGCCCGGUAGCUAAAUGCGGAAGAGAUAAGUGCUGAAAGCAUCUAAGCACGAAACUUGCCCCGAGAUGAGUUCUCCCUGACCCUUUAAGGGUCCUGAAGGAACGUUGAAGACGACGACGUUGAUAGGCCGGGUGUGUAAGCGCAGCGAUGCGUUGAGCUAACCGGUACUAAUGAACCGUGAGGCUUAACCUU